ACUGUGCUCAAAUCCCGCUCUCACUCUACGCUUUUGUAGACACGCGAUUAUAUACACCACCUUCCAUUUUCUCACACAAUCUCACCUUCACACUCACUCACUCACUUAUUACUUUCUCUCUAUAUGUAGAUAUACACAUCGGGUUGUAUCUAUACACCACUGGAUAAAGGAUCCGGGUGAAAUGAAUCCCGAUUGCUGUGUGCCGAGCUCUUGAUGUAAAUGCAGACUUUAAUGGAGGCAUACUAAUUUUGUUCUAUGAACGUCAUCCUAUGAGGCAUGCAACUAUGAACAAAGAGAAUAGAUCUUCAGAAGUUGUAGGUCCUACAAUGCGAAUCACACGAGCACGGACUAAAGCCUUAGGCUCGUCAGGAGGAUUGCCACCUUUGCAUCCCUCAACCAAACAGGACGCUAGACGGGUUUUGCAAACGACCUCCAAAAGAGUAGCAUCUGACGAGAACGAACCUGCUGCAAGUUCCUCUGCAUUUUCUCAGCAUAAGAAAAGGGCCAUUCUUAAAGAAGUAACUAACACACUCUGUGAAAAUUCAUACAGAAACUGCAUCAAUGCAACAAAAGUUCAUCUUAGUAAACUGGAUAGAAAAAUUA